rnacentral:rRNA from 1 species
AGUUUGAUCCUGGCUCAGAUCGAACGCUGGCGGCAGGCCUAACACAUGCAAGUCGAACGGUAACAGAGAGUAGCUUGCUACUUUGCUGACGAGUGGCGGACGGGUGAGUAAUGUCUGGGGAUCUGCCUGAUGGAGGGGGAUAACUACUGGAAACGGUAGCUAAUACCGCAUAAUGUCGCAAGACCAAAGCGGGGGACUUUCGGGCCUCGCACCAUCAGAUGAACCCAGAUGGGAUUAGCUAGUAGGUAGGGUAAUGGCUUACCUAGGCGACGAUCCCUAGCUGGUCUGAGAGGAUGACCAGCCACACUGGAACUGAGACACGGUCCAGACUCCUACGGGAGGCAGCAGUGGGGAAUAUUGCACAAUGGGCGCAAGCCUGAUGCAGCCAUGCCGCGUGUAUGAAGAAGGCCUUCGGGUUGUAAAGUACUUUCAGUCAGGAGGAAGGGUGUGAAAUUAAUACUUUCAUGCAUUGACGUUACUGACAGAAGAAGCACCGGCUAACUCCGUGCCAGCAGCCGCGGUAA